rnacentral:rRNA from 1 species
UACGUAGGGGGCAAGCGUUGUCCGGAUUUACUGGGCGUAAAGAGCGUGUAGGCGGCCAAACAGGUCCGUUGUGAAAACUGGAGGCUCAACCUCGAGAUGUCGCCGGAAACCAGUCGGCUAGAGUCCGGAAGAGGAGAGUGGAAUUCCUGGUGUAGCGGUGAAAUGCGCAGAUAUCAGGAAGAACACCUAUGGCGAAAGCAGCUCUCUGGGACGGUACUGACGCUGAGACGCGAAAGCGUGGGGAGCGAACAGG